GGCGCUGUGGCUUAUGUGGUCAAAGUGCCUGUCUAGUAUACAGGAAUUCCUAGGUUCAAAUCCCAGCAGUGCCU
rnacentral:tRNA from 1 species